UGAAGAGGGAAACAACCCAGACCGCCAGCUAAGGUCCCAAAGUCAUGGUUAAGUGGGAAACGAUGUGGGAAGGCCCAGACAGCCAGGAUGUUGGCUUAGAAGCAGCCAUCAUUUAAAGAAAGCGUAAUAGCUCACUGGUCGAGUCGGCCUGCGCGGAAGAUGUAACGGGGCUAAACCAUGCACCGAAGCUGCGGCAGCGACACUGUGUGUUGUUGGGUAGGGGAGCGUUCUGUAAGCCUGUGAAGGUGUGCUGUGAGGCAUGCUGGAGGUAUCAGAAGUGCGAAUGCUGACAUAAGUAACGAUAAAGCGGGUGAAAAGCCCGCUCGCCGGAAGACCAAGGGUUCCUGUCCAACGUUAAUCGGGGCAGGGUGAGUCGACCCCUAAGGCGAGGCCGAAAGGCGUAGUCGAUGGGAAACAGGUUAAUAUUCCUGUACUUGGUGUUACUGCGAAGGGGGGACGGAGAAGGCUAUGUUGGCCGGGCGACGGUUGUCCCGGUUUAAGCGUGUAGGCUGGUUUUCCAGGCAAAUCCGGAAAAUCAAGGCUGAGGCGUGAUGACGAGGCACUACGGUGCUGAAGCAACAAAUGCCCUGCUUCCAGGAAAAGCCUCUAAGCAUCAGGUAACAUCAAAUCGUACCCCAAACCGACACAGGUGGUCAGGUAGAGAAUACCAAGGCGCUUGAGAGAACUCGGGUGAAGGAACUAGGCAAAAUGGUGCCGUAACUUCGGGAGAAGGCACGCUGAUAUGUAGGUGAAGUCCCUCGCGGAUGGAGCUGAAAUCAGUCGAAGAUACCAGCUGGCUGCAACUGUUUAUUAAAAACACAGCACUGUGCAAACACGAAAGUGGACGUAUACGGUGUGACGCCUGCCCGGUGCCGGAAGGUUAAUUGAUGGGGUCAGCGCAAGCGAAGCUCUUGAUCGAAGCCCCGGUAAACGGCGGCCGUAACUAUAACGGUCCUAAGGUAGCGAAAUUCCUUGUCGGGUAAGUUCCGACCUGCACGAAUGGCGUAAUGAUGGCCAGGCUGUCUCCACCCGAGACUCAGUGAAAUUGAACUCGCUGUGAAGAUGCAGUGUACCCGCGGCAAGACGGAAAGACCCCGUGAACCUUUACUAUAGCUUGACACUGAACAUUGAGCCUUGAUGUGUAGGAUAGGUGGGAGGCUUUGAAGUGUGGACGCCAGUCUGCAUGGAGCCGACCUUGAAAUACCACCCUUUAAUGUUUGAUGUUCUAACGUGGACCCGUGAUCCGGGUUGCGGACAGUGUCUGGUGGGUAGUUUGACUGGGGCGGUCUCCUCCUAAAGAGUAACGGAGGAGCACGAAGGUUGGCUAAUCCUGGUCGGACAUCAGGAGGUUAGUGCAAUGGCAUAAGCCAGCUUGACUGCGAGCGUGACGGCGCGAGCAGGUGCGAAAGCAGGUCAUAGUGAUCCGGUGGUUCUGAAUGGAAGGGCCAUCGCUCAACGGAUAAAAGGUACUCCGGGGAUAACAGGCUGAUACCGCCCAAGAGUUCAUAUCGACGGCGGUGUUUGGCACCUCGAUGUCGGCUCAUCACAUCCUGGGGCUGAAGUAGGUCCCAAGGGUAUGGCUGUUCGCCAUUUAAAGUGGUACGCGAGCUGGGUUUAGAACGUCGUGAGACAGUUCGGUCCCUAUCUGCCGUGGGCGCUGGAGAACUGAGGGGGGCUGCUCCUAGUACGAGAGGACCGGAGUGGACGCAUCACUGGUGUUCGGGUUGUCAUGCCAAUGGCACUGCCCGGUAGCUAAAUGCGGAAGAGAUAAGUGCUGAAAGCAUCUAAGCACGAAACUUGCCCCGAGAUGAGUUCUCCCUGACCCUUUAAGGGUCCUGAAGGAACGUUGAAGACGACGACGUUGAUAGGCCGGGUGUGUAAGCGCAGCGAUGCGUUGAGCUAACCGGUACUAAUGAACCGUGAGGCUUAACCUUACAACGCCGAAGGUGUUU
rnacentral:rRNA from 1 species